AUGGUGACAAAAAAGUUCUUUUAUAACCAUGGAAUCAUGACAUGGAAUGUAUUAUUAAUGUGUAUACCUUCAAUGUGGAUUAUCGAAGACUACUUUCGUUUCAUAUUCAUGCAAAAAACUUCUUCGGGAAUGUUGAAAUUUUUGCUUGUACUGUCUUUUCCUGGAGUCAUUGAAAUAUCCCCUUGCACAGAAAUUUGUUUUCUACUGAAUUUUUGUCAAGAUACUCUGGUACUAACAUUUAACUAUUUUGUAGGAAUGAAGAGCUCAAGGGAGCAAAAGGAACAAGGAGAAAGGAGCGCUCAAGAGAAGUGA
rnacentral:rRNA from 1 species